rnacentral:rRNA from 1 species
GAUGAACGCUAGCUACAGGCUUAACACAUGCAAGUCGAGGGGCAGCGCAGUGUAGCAAUACAUGGGCGGCGACCGGCGCACGGGUGCGUAACGCGUAUCCAACCUCCACGUUACUCAGGGAUAGCCUUCCGAAAGGGAGAUUAAUACCUGAUGGUGUUCAAAUUCCGCAUGUUAUUUGAACUAAAGAUUCAUCGGUAACGGAUGGGGAUGCGUGACAUUAGAUAGUAGGCGGGGUAACGGCCCACCUAGUCUACGAUGUCUAGGGGUUCGGAGAGGAAGGUCCCCCACACUGGAACUGAGACACGGUCCAGACUCCUACGGGAGGCAGCAGUGAGGAAUAUUGGUCAAUGGUCGGAAGACUGAACCAGCCAAGUAGAGUGAAGGAUGAAGGUUCUAUGGAUUGUAAACUUCUUUUAUACGGGAAUAAAACCUCCCACGUGUGGGAGCUUGUAUGUACCGUAUGAAUAAGCAUCGGCUAACUCCGUGCCAGCCGCCGCCGUAAGAC